CUCUUUGUUCCUGGAUCCAUGAGCUCCCUGGGCUCUAGGCCCACAGCUCAGCAUCUGCUCAAUUAUCUGAACCUGCCUCAACGGCUUUCUUGAGCUCCACCCAACACACCUGCCCUGAAUCAGCCUCUUCUCUGCAAUUCUACCCCCAGCUCCUUCCCUGGCUCUCAGCCUGUAUUCCACACCCUACUCCAGCCUAAGCCUGGCCUCUUCCCUUCUUCCCUUUGAUCCAUUUUUUUUCUGAUCAAGCAUCUUCUCCACAGAUUCCAGAUGGAGAAACAGACCUGGAGAAGGAAAAAGGAAAGACAUCAGCUCCCACCCCAAGUCCCUCUGGAGCCAAGGAGCAGCCAUCGCAGAGGGUUGAAGCUACAUUAUAAAGCUCCUAGGAUCAAACCUCACCCCAGAACUCUCCAGAGCCCACAUAGGUUCUACAGCAGCCAGUCCUGAUAUGCAGCCUCAUGACCACGAAGUGUUCCACCAAGUCCAUUUCACAGAUGAAGAAACUGAGGUGAUGAGAAAAAUGGAGUGAAUUGCCCCAGGUCACACAACUGAGCCUAGCUGCCAGCACAGGUCCGUGGGACUCUUUUCAAGGCUGGGGCUUGGGGGCCCGAGCUGUUUUGGAACAAUCAAUUACUGAAUUGAAGCAAUUGAGGGAGCCGAUUUGGCCGGGCUGCCUGGCUGGGCGGCUGCUCUCACCCCUGCUCUCUAGCCAGCUGAGGCAUUUCGUCAUUCACACUUUGAAGGCAGCCUAUUCUCACCAGCAGCUUCCAA